AUCGGAAUCCGGGAAGGGGGCGGGACUUCCCUUUCAAACUUCUUAACACCCUUCCUCUCCCUGCUGGAAGAAAAGUUUAGAACUUCAGCCGCGGGACUGGCGGAGGAAGAACACACCGCUUUCAACUUCCCUGCCGUCGGCCGGUGUUUUACUACACAAAUCCCAGUGCCUGGAAACAACCACACGCAUCUAAGCUCCGGAAACAUACCACAGCCUCUAAGGAAUAAGGCUGGGAGAAUGAACCAGUCAAGGAGAAAGACUGAAGAAGGACUGAAGAAGGGGGACACAGAUGGGAGUUAAGCUCUAGAGAAGGUCUUCUGUGGAAGCAUGCACUGGAAAAUCUCCACCCGCUGGCAAAGAGAUGCAUGGGCACAGGCGUCAAGUGGGAAACAGCAGGAGGACGCUGUCUGGAUUCUCUAUGGGCUGGGAGUUAGAACUUCAAAGAGAAUUCACCAUCUUCUCCUUGCAACAGAAGAUGUAGGAGCCAGGACAUGUUUGAUGUUUUCCCCUCAUUCUUUCUUCAUGGACGCAAAGUACAGCGAGUUUACAGUGGCAAUGAGUAAGUAAGGUAAGUGGAAAACCCCAGAAGGGUUUUUAAAACAGGCUUCCUAGAGCUGAGGAGAGCAUACAGCUCUAUUCAUGACGGUGUGACCUUCUGGACAAGCCGAGAUCUGGAAUGGGAAACCGGAGCUCCGCCUCCAGCCUUGUCCCUCACGGGGAAAGUCACUUCCCCCUCUCUGGGCCUCAGUUUCCUGAUCCGUUAACCGCCCUGCCCACCUCAAAGGGUUUGGGGGAAGAGGUGAUGAGAGAAAGGAUGUGAACGGGCUUUGAAAAGAAGGCUCAAGAGCUGUGUAAAUGGAAGGGGUGACUGUUUGUUUUCACAAGUGGAGUUGUCUCUUUGCCAUUGCCACUGGAGAGGCUGUUCGGGCCGUAAGUAUUUGACCUCUGAGCUUUGCUCAGACUGGAGCAGCUGUGGGUGGCAGGAAUGCAGGGAGGGAGGAAAUAUCAGAGUUAGCCAGCAUGGGCCUCAGUCUCAGAGUUGGCCAGGCUUCUAGAGGGGAAAAAAAAUCUCAAGUAGCUCUUUGUGGUCAUGAAGAAUACACUUAUGUGAUUGUUUUUAAGUAUUUCAGACUCUGAAAAAAAGCUUUAAGGAACCCAUUGCAAUGGACAACAGUAGAGUUACUCAUUCAACUUCGCGGGAACAAAUCCACGUGAAAUGGAGAAUGGAAGAAAUUAGCUAAAUAAUUCAGUCCCGUCUUCAAUCUAGCAUGCAGGUGCACACGCACACACGCACACACACACACACACACACACACACACGGAUUAUUUCACCCACAUUGAUUCAGAGUGUGGUUUUAAUUCUUGCCCCUUUCAAUCGGGUUAGAACCUUUCCAGUCUUCAAAGUUCUUCUCAAUCCUUUGUCAUUUUAUACUCAGUGCCCAGCACAGUUCCCGGCUCAUAGUAGGCACUCAGUAAGUUUCUGCUCAAUGACAUACUACCUGAUCUGGAGUAUACUCUUACCGACACGGCCUCCGAUGAACCACACGUCUCUGAAUCCAUGUGGAGCCCUCUCCACACUGACUCUGGGCUUAAUUUGCUCGCCUGGAGAGAUUUUAGUAAAUGCGAUACAAACAGGCACGUGAACGGCACAUUGGAACAUCACACUUAUGAAGAAGCCUGGGCCAGCCUGCAGGGGACGCGUGGCCAAGUCAACAGCCAGCUUCACUACUGCCAGUCAUGUGAGUAAGGCUGUUUUAGACCCUCCGGUCCCUAUCAAGCUGCCAGAUGACUGCGACCAGACAAAAUCAGCAGAACGGCCCAGUUGAGCUCAGUUCAAGUGCUGACCCAUAAAAUCAUGAGAAAAUAUAUUGUAGUUUUAAGCCCGUGAAUUUUGGGUUGGUGUGUCAUACAAAGACAAUUGAGACGGUACUUUUUUUAAAAAGUGCAUAGAUAGAUACCUUUAGACCAGAAAUGACAAAUAUGUAACAUCUCAUCUAACACAUUUAAUGGAUUGGUACUGUCUUCCUGGAGGGCCAUGUGGAGGGGAACUUGAAGUCCCAGUUACUAGAAGAGAAAGCCAUGAUUCAUUAGUAAUGGGUGCAAAGAACGCGGAUGGGAAUAGUGGCAAUAUGCGUGCCUUAUUUUUGCCGUCUUUGUUCCAUUUUAUCAAUCAGGGGCCAGCAAACAAGGAAAGAAUUAUCAAAGUGAAAUGCUAAGUGGGCCAUUUGGUAAGGAGAUUUUCCAAUGAGUUAGGGCACAGUUCCCAGGGACAGUGAUUAUGAAGGUAGAACUCCUUGAGUGAACUCAAGCAGACGUUAAUUAUGUCACGGGAGAACACAAUUCCAUGACUGCAGAAACCCACAAUUUGGAGCUCUGGUUGAUUUCCCAGGUUUGCUAGGGGGCAGCGUCCAAGUGGCUUUACUCUGCCCAUAGAUCUGGUCAUCAGCUUCAUAGGUACAGAAACUUGGUGUUUUUGGUGCAUCCAGAGGUGGUUGGGCUCUUGGGAACAGCCCUACAAGAAUCACCUUCAUGCGAUUCCGUCAGCAAAAUAAAAUGCAAGGACUUUCCAAAGAUACAACAACUCUUAUUGGCUCCCCAGACUCAGUUAGUCAUCAGAAAAGCUCCGUCCCACAAAGAAGAUGGAAUGAGAAGAAAGGAAGUGGGAAGGUUCAGAGGGAAUAUUUCACACGAGUCAGUAAAAGCAGAUAAAAUAUCUCUGUCUGACGAGAGUACCCUCUCUGUAGCAGUGGGAAACCAUGAACCUCAGGUCCAGUGUCUCUCUCCCUUGAGAAUAAUUGGAAGCACACUGACCAGUUGUAGACAUUGACUUAUCUUCUGACAUCUCUGCAGACCCCAUUCCUUCUGGAAGAUAUGCUUCCUCGGACACAUUAACAUAAUUGAUUAAGCCAUUGCCAUUUUUUUGGUUCAGCAGCACCAUCUGAAGAUCCCACCUUCUUUAGAGUUUGCCUGCCCAAGCUCCUGACUAUCCAUUAUCACCUUGAUUUAUAAGGCAUAUUUCCCCUUCCAAGAUUUCUACAUAACGCAUGGAUUUUGUCCCAUCUACCCAUCCAUCCAUCCAUGCAUCAUUUCAUCUACGUAUUCUAUUAAUCACAUGCACUCAGUUGGUCUGGGGGGCCACAAAGAGGAGUAAACAUGGACCCUGCCUUUGAGGAGCCUCAAAGGUGAGAAAGGAGAUGGGAGUCGAGGUGAAGACUCGUCCUAGAGAAGCCCAGGAAAGACAAGAGGAUACUGUAACAAAGACUGAGCAGCGGUGAUAGAGAAGAAGGGGCAGAUACCAGAGAAAGGCAGUGUUACGGAGAGAAAAUGAACAGUGAUUGCCCAGUGGGCAGGCAGUGAGAAAGAGGGAAGAGACCAGAGCAAUAAAAAUGGUUGUAAACCACUAAGUA